GAUGAACGCUGGCGGCGUGCCUAAUACAUGCAAGUCGAGCGAACAGACGAGGAGCUUGCUCCUCUGACGUUAGCGGCGGACGGGUGAGUAACACGUGGAUAACCUACCUAUAAGACUGGGAUAACUUCGGGAAACCGGAGCUAAUACCGGAUAAUAUAUUGAACCGCAUGGUUCAAUAGUUAAAGACGGUUUUGCUGUCACUUAUAGAUGGAUCCGCGCCGCAUUAGCUAGUUGGUAAGGUAACGGCUUACCAAGGCAACGAUGCGUAGCCGACCUGAGAGGGUGAUCGGCCACACUGGAACUGAGACACGGUCCAGACUCCUACGGGAGGCAGCAGUAGGGAAUCUUCCGCAAUGGGAGAAAGCCUGACGGAGCAACGCCGCGUGAGUGAUGAAGGUCUUCGGAUCGUAAAACUCUGUUAUUAGGGAAGAACAAAUGUGUAAGUAACUAUGCACGUCUUGACGGUACCUAAUCAGAAAGCCACGGCUAACUACGUG
rnacentral:rRNA from 1 species